AGCAUAGUUCCAUUUGGAUAGAAAGCUAAGGCUGUGCAUUUCCGGACGCUGGUUUGUCAGAACCCAGAGAGCCAAACGCUGACGCUGUGGCCAAGAAGACAAACCUGACUUCGGGCGUAUUCGUCGUGCCCUGAGAUGCAUCCUUCCCACGUGCACACAGAUCCAUUGCUGUGUUUCCCUUCUUCGCACACACCCCCUCCCAAGUCGGGUUCCCUCAUGCCGCCCCACUUAAUGGCCGUUUUCUUUGCCCCCCACCCCGCCCCAAUGGCAAAACUCCACCAAAGAGCUCUCGCUGCCCACGCUCUCCAGUCGUGCUCCUUUUUGAAAAGUUGUAGUAGGUCACACUUCUGCAAAAGAGUGUUAGAACGUUGCCUUAUGUUUACAGUAAAGAGGAGUCAAAGAGGACCUCAGGAGCUGGGUGCCCCCCAGCCUACACACCUCCAGUGGCAGGAGUGACCCCCCAACUCAGCCACUGCUCCCCCGCUGUCCCCCGGCACUCACCUGAACACCAUCAGGGCCAUCCGGACUCUUCUCAUAAUCCCUUCAUCCCUGUCACCGCGGCCAGCACAAGAGGCCUGGCACUCCCGGGCCACGUCUCACCUCCUGGCCUCACCCCCACAUGCGUGUGUUCCCCUCAUCCGCGUAACAAAUCACAAGACACGUUUAGGCUUAAGACCACCGCCACCGUGGUCUUGUUCGUGUGUCUGAAAUUUGGACAGGAAUUUGCAGGGACAACCUGUUUCCUCCCCACAUGGGGUGACCCAGCCGGCAGGCUGGUGGUCCCCUUCCAAGGCGGUUCCCUCUGGGCCGGCGAGGUGGUGCUGGCUGCUGAUUUCUCUCCGCACAGGGUCUCUCCCGGGGGGCUGGGGGUGGUGGGCAGUUUGGGUUUCCUCCCCGCAGAGUCGCUCAGGUCCAAAGCUUUUGUGUAGGUGUCGGUAGCUGCCGUAACGAGCUGCCACAGACAGCAGCUAGAACAACAGACAUGGAUUAUCUCGCGGUUCCGUAGUUUGAGGUCUGCGGUGGGGCUCACGGGUGCGGGCAGGGCUGUGGUCCUUUCUGGAGGCUCCAGGGGGGGAGUCCAUUUCCCGUGCUGUCAGGCGGGCAGCAGAAUUCAAUUCCUCGCGGUCCGAGGACGGAGCUCCCCAUGCCGAGCUGGCGGUCAGCGAGGGCCGUUCCCAGCUUCUAGAGGCACCUGCAUUUCUCGCCUCGUGGCGCUCUUCCUCCUCUCAAAGCCGCACCUGUCCUGCCUCCUCGUCAUUGUCAUAUUGCCCUGAUCCGCUCUUCUGCCUUCCGCUUCCGCUCUCGGGGGGCCCGUGUGAUCACGCCAGGCUCACCUGGGCAACCCCAGGUGCUCUCCCUAUUUUGAAGUCCUUAAUCCGCCAUCAGUGUUCCUCUUGCCGUGCAACGCAGCGUUGUUGGUAGCUUCCCGGGAGCAGGGUGUGGACCCCUUUGGGGGCAUCGCUCUGCCCACCGCUGUGUCCCAGAGACAGGAAGCCCCCACUUAGAGCAUGGGCUCAGAAAUUGUCCAAGUAGUUACCCCAGAUUCAAGGGGACAUACCUUCCCCUCAUCCUAAAGGAGGAGGGUCAAGGAACGUGUGAGCCGGGUGUUAAAACCGCCACAGUCUCUGGCCACAAAUUCUCUCUGUUCCUCCCACACGCAAAAGUCCCAAUCCCGGAAGCCCCAUCCUGUGCCAGCAUCAGACACAGGCUUGAGCUCCAGGAUCUCAUCAUCUGAAUCAAGAGCGGUGCGGGGGCCUCGAGCUGACCACGCUCACAGGCAAGUUACCUGUCGAUCGCACACCGAACAUACAGCGGUGAGGCAGGCGCACGUACACGCAGUACCAUUCGAAAAGCGGGGAGCGAGGCACACAGUCGCUGGUCCACAGAAAUCCAGCUGGGCGCGGGUCCCCCUCUCUUGCUUAGGGACCAGUGCUGCCUCCUAGGACUCUGACAAGGUGUCAGGCUCUACCCUCUGGGCUCUAUUCGCCCUCUGUGUCAUUCUUUUCUGGAAGAAAACAGUUUGGAAUCCAGCCUUCUCAGCCUGCUUCCUGCCCAGAAAAGGUUUGAGCUCCUGAGGGUUCUUCAUUUUGCACCGUCUUCCCCUUGUGUCUGAGCUGGAGGUGUUUCCGCAAGAACAGUUUGCAAAGAAUGAGAGGUCAUCUCUGCGGCUGCAUUUA